UAGAGACCGGCGCACGGGUGCGUAACGCGUAUGCAAUCUACCUUUUGCAGAGGGAUAGCCCAGAGAAAUUUGGAUUAAUACCUCAUAGUAUUAUAGUAUGGCAUCAUAUUAUAAUUAAAGUCACAACGGCAAAAGAUGAGCAUGCGUCCCAUUAGCUAGUUGGUAAGGUAACGGCUUACCAAGGCUACGAUGGGUAGGGGUCCUGAGAGGGAGAUCCCCCACACUGGUACUGAGACACGGACCAGACUCCUACGGGAGGCAGCAGUGAGGAAUAUUGGACAAUGGGCGCAAGCCUGAUCCAGCCAUGCCGCGUGCAGGAAGACGGUCCUAUGGAUUGUAAACUGCUUUUGUACAGGAAGAAACCCUUUCACGAGUGAAAGAUUGACGGUACUGUAAGAAUAAGGAUCGGCUAACUCCGUGCCAGCAGCCGCGGUAAUACGGAGGAUCCAAGCGUUAUCCGGAAUCAUUGGGUUUAAAGGGUCCGUAGGCGGUUUAAUAAGUCAGUGGUGAAAGCCCAUCGCUCAACGGUGGAACGGCCAUUGAUACUGUUAAACUUGAAUUAUAAAGAAGUAGCUAGAAUAUGUAGUGUAGCGAUGAAAUGCUUAGAUAUUACAUGGAAUACCAAUUGCGAAGGCAGGUUACUAUUUAUGGAUUGACGCUGACGGACGAAAGCGUGGGUAGCGAACAGGAUUAGAUACCCUGGUAGUCCACGCCGUAAACGAUGGAUACUAGCUGUUGGGCGCAAGUUCAGUGGCUAAGCGAAAGUGAUAAGUAUCCCACCUGGGGAGUACGGGCGCAAGCCUGAAACUCAAAUGAAUUGACGG
rnacentral:rRNA from 1 species